rnacentral:lncRNA from 1 species
AGGCCCAGUAUUACGUUGAAAGUUUGGUGCAGCUUUAUUAAAAGUGAGUGAGUUUCUCUUCCACAUUUUUCUUGUUUGAAUCUAUGUAUGUUAAUUACUUCGUUUUUGUUGUUAUAAUAAUAGAUUGUGUGAUUGCUUUGCUGCUUAAUUAGCUUGUCGGUAUUAAUUGUUGAGUUAUUAUUUAUUGACCAUUUUCUUGUUAUUUAUGCUUAUUGUAACUUAGAUGAUGAUAUUUUCUAUAUGUAAAUUCCUUGGCUGGGACAGCUUCCAUCAGAAAUGUUGUGGUUUGUAAAAUGUAAAACAUCAAUAUUUUCAUGUGUUUUAGGUUUUGCAACUUAAGUUUUAUUAACUUUGCUCAUAUCCUUUUAGGAUUUUAAGAAAUGUUGUCAAUAUUGCAUUUUUAAUACCAAAUUCAAGGCAAUUGUGAUUUUUCCUUUUCAAGCUCACUAGUCUCAUACAUGUUAUAUGUUCUUUUUAAUAUGUGAACCAGUCUUUAUUCUUUUGGUUUUAGGGUUUCUACCAGAGUUCUGCACAUAAUGAACUAUUGAUAGAGUAAGGUUAUGUGCCUGUUAAAUCAGAUAAAUAUUAAUAGGAAACAAAUAGACCCAUAUAACUUGUCAAACCUGGUAUAGGAUUAAUUUGAUUGCUUGUACUUGUGGUUUAUAACUUUCCACUUUUGUUUACUUCUGAUCAUUUCUAGAAAUUGUAAUAUCAAAUUAUUCUUAUGUUCCAUUUUCAAUUGUCUCCUGUUUUUUUUUUUUUUUUUUUUUUUUUGUCAAAUUAAAUGAUGACAUAAUUAAAUGGAUAAUUAAUUUUAAUUUUAUUGUCUUGUUUGAGAGCUUUUGCAGAUAUUAUUUAUUGACUAAUACCUCAAAAUAGUCCUUGAAUUUUGAAAAAUCGGCCAAUUUCGUCCCUGAAUUAUUCGAAAUAUCAAAAUAGUCCCUGAAUUUACAAAAUGUCAAUCAAAUUAGUCCCUCCGUUAAAUUGGUCUGUUAACGGAGGUGACGUGUCACGUUAACCUCUGACAAAGCGUACCACGUCAGAUGCCACGCAAGCAGGGACCAAAUUGAUGAAUUUACACAAAAUUUCGAAGGACUAAAUUGAUGGAUUUACACAAAAUUUCCAAGGACCAAAUUGAUGGAUUUUCAGAAAAUUCGCAACGGCUCUUUUCCUUCUUUGUGAGUAACGGCUUUUUCUCCACUUCCUCAUUUAAGGCUAUUUCUUCCCCAAAUAUAUAAAUUUGGAACUCUACUGUUAUAAUUCCUUACAUAGAGUUCAAAAUCCCCAAAAUUUCUUCCCCAAUUCAAAAAACUUAGAACCCUAAUUUUUUUGAUUAAAUUCGAAAUUCAUAAAUCAAGUGCUCUGCCUUGUAGAUUCAGUGUUUAGAAUUGAUGGGUGGUGCGCGAAUGGGCAAAAACAACUACAACAACCGGUAUUCAUCUUCAAGCUCUAUGUACAAUGAUGAUGUGAGAGAGCUUCAAUGUUGGUGUCCUAGAAUUUGUGUUGUAAGAAGAGCAAACACUGUCAAUAACCCAGGAAGGCUUUUCUAUGCUUGCCCUCUGCAUAAGGUUUGUUUAACAAUGGUUAUUUGAUGUAUGAAUGUUUUGUUUAAAUUAUACUGAUUUUGUCUUUUGAUGAUUGUAUAGGAUGAUUGUGAAAACUGUAAUUUUUUUGUGUGGGUUGAUGAAGCUGAAGAAUUAGGCUAUUUUAAAAACAAUGAUGAUGGUCAUGGAAUUAAGUUAUUGAUAGGAGUAUUUUGUUUGAUUGAGUUGUUUAAAAUGCUAUUGUAUUGUGCCAAGUCCAUGUAAUGUUGUAAUGAAAAAAGGUUGUCAAUGAAUGAAUCAAACCUUUCUGUCAAAAAUAUUCAAUCACAUUGGUCCUUGAAUUAUAUUCAUAUCCAUCAUUUCGAUCCUUAAAUUAGUAAAAAAAACAUCAAAUUGGUCCUUGAAUUAUCAUAACAGAAAUCAAUUUGAUCCUUUGGACAUACAUUUGCUGAACAAAGAAAAAAUAAAAGACAAACACUUUGAAUAUAAAAAGACAAACAUUUUCAUUAUAUCAUAAGUCAAUAUUCGAGUUAAUAAGUCAUUACAUAGCCAAAAAAACAACAGUACAUAGCCAAAAAAACAUUAAUUAAACUAGUCCAAAAGCAUAAUUAAAACAUGCAUCAUUGUUUUCGAAAUCCUGGAGUUGGGAUAAACUCCAUGUACUGCGGUUGAGUAGAAGCGGAUGGCCCGUAAAUUGGAUUUGGCAUUAUUUUUCAACUUUUAACUUCAUAUCAUGUUUGGUUUCUGUUUGUUUGUGAUUGUUGUGUGUUUGAUUGCGUUUUUUAGAUUCGUAAUUUUAGGGUUUUUGAACUCUAUGUAAGGAAUUAUAACAUUAGGGUUCCAAAUUUAUAUAUUUGGGGGAAGAAAUAGCCUUAAAUGAGGAAGUGGAGAAAGAGCCGUUACUCACAAAGAAGGGAAAGAGCCGUUGCGAAUUUUCUGAAAAUCCAUCAAUUUGGUCCUUGGAAAUUUUGUGUAAAUCCAUCAAUUUAGUCCUUCGAAAUUUUGUGUAAAUCCAUCAAUUUGGUCCCUGCUUGCGUGGCAUCUGACGUGGUACGCUUUGUCAGAGGUUAACGUGACACGUCACCUCCGUUAACAGACCAAUUUAACGGAGGGACUAAUUUGAUUGACGUUUUGUAAAUUCAGGGACUAUUUUGAUAUUUCGAAUAAUUCAGGGACAAAAUUGGUCGAUUUUUCAAAAUUCAAGGACUAUUUUGAGGUAUUAGUCAUUAUUUAUUCUACGGAAAGAGAAGAAGGGCAGCUGCAAUUGAAGUUUGGAGCAACAAGAGUGUGAUUUUUCAAUCAGCCAUUUUAUUAGAAUGUGCUAUUUUAAUAAAAGUUACUGAAGAACAACUGUAUUUGUUACAUUAAUAUUUACAAUAUUUAAAUGAUGCAGAAUAUUUUAACUCUUUGAGCUGUGG